UGCAAGUCGUACGCUUCUUUUUCCACCGGAGCUUGCUCCACCGGAAAAAGAAGAGUGGCGAACGGGUGAGUAACACGUGGGUAACCUGCCCAUCAGAAGGGGAUAACACUUGGAAACAGGUGCUAAUACCGUAUAACAAUCGAAACCGCAUGGUUUUGAUUUGAAAGGCGCUUUCGGGUGUCGCUGAUGGAUGGACCCGCGGUGCAUUAGCUAGUUGGUGAGGUAACGGCUCACCAAGGCCACGAUGCAUAGCCGACCUGAGAGGGUGAUCGGCCACAUUGGGACUGAGACACGGCCCAAACUCCUACGGGAGGCAGCAGUAGGGAAUCUUCGGCAAUGGACGAAAGUCUGACCGAGCAACGCCGCGUGAGUGAAGAAGGUUUUCGGAUCGUAAAACUCUGUUGUUAGAGAAGAACAAGGAUGAGAGUAACUGUUCAUCCCUUGACGGUAUCUAACCAGAAAGCCACGGCUAACUACGUGCCAGCAGCCGCGGUAAUACGUAGGUGGCAAGCGUUGUCCGGAUUUAUUGGGCGUAAAGCGAGCGCAGGCGGUUUCUUAAGUCUGAUGUGAAAGCCCCCGGCUCAACCGGGGAGGGUCAUUGGAAACUGGGAGACUUGAGUGCAGAAGAGGAGAGUGGAAUUCCAUGUGUAGCGGUGAAAUGCGUAGAUAUAUGGAGGAACACCAGUGGCGAAGGCGGCUCUCUGGUCUGUAACUGACGCUGAGGCUCGAAAGCGUGGGGAGCAAACAGGAUUAGAUACCCUGGUAGUCCACGCCGUAAACGAUGAGUGCUAAGUGUUGGAGGGUUUCCGCCCUUCAGUGCUGCAGCUAACGCAUUAAGCACUCCGCCUGGGGAGUACGACCGCAAGGUUGAAACUCAAAGGAAUUGACGGGGGCCCGCACAAGCGGUGGAGCAUGUGGUUUAAUUCGAAGCAACGCGAAGAACCUUACCAGGUCUUGACAUCCUUUGACCACUCUAGAGAUAGAGCUUCCCCUUCGGGGGCAAAGUGACAGGUGGUGCAUGGUUGUCGUCAGCUCGUGUCGUGAGAUGUUGGGUUAAGUCCCGCAACGAGCGCAACCCUUAUUGUUAGUUGCCAUCAUUCAGUUGGGCACUCUAGCAAGACUGCCGGUGACAAACCGGAGGAAGGUGGGGAUGACGUCAAAUCAUCAUGCCCCUUAUGACCUGGGCUACACACGUGCUACAAUGGGAAGUACAACGAGUCGCGAAGUCGCGAGGCUAAGCUAAUCUCUUAAAGCUUCUCUCAGUUCGGAUUGUAGGCUGCAACUCGCCUACAUGAAGCCGGAAUCGCUAGUAAUCGCGGAUCAGCACGCCGCGGUGAAUACGUUCCCGGGCCUUGUACACACCGCCCGUCACACCACGAGAGUUUGUAACACCCGAAGUCGGUGAGGUAACCUUUUGGAGCCAGCCGCCUAA
rnacentral:rRNA from 4 species